rnacentral:rRNA from 1 species
CAGUAGCCGCGGUAAUACGUAGGGUGCGAGCGUUAAUCGGAAUUACUGGGCGUAAAGCGUGCGCAGGCGGUUUUGUAAGACAGGCGUGAAAUCCCCGGGCUCAACCUGGGAAUGGCGCUUGUGACUGCAAAGCUAGAGUGCGGCAGAGGGGGAUGGAAUUCCGCGUGUAGCAGUGAAAUGCGUAGAUAUGCGGAGGAACACCGAUGGCGAAGGCAAUCCCCUGGGCCUGCACUGACGCUCAUGCACGAAAGCGUGGGGAGCAAACAGGAUUAGAUACCCGGGUAGUCCCUGUCUCUUAUAC